rnacentral:lncRNA from 1 species
CAGAAGGACAUGUGAGCCACAUCUUCAUGGCCACCAUAAUCACACAUGAGAUGCAACCCACAUCUACAAAGUUCUAAAACAGGCAGGACUAAACACUGUCUUCUUGUUGAUUUAUAUAUAGGUACUGAAGACAAAGAUAAGCCAAUGAGCCAUGUACACUCAGGAUGGUGGUUUAGUCUGUGGGGGAGGGUGGGAGAGAAAUUGGAGAAGUUCCCACCACAGCUCAGCACUAAAGCAGCGGAUGUCCUCCUUCCGCUGGAUAGAUGGCACAAAGGGGGUUUAUUUUAUUAGUAUUCACUAAGCACACCUGGAUGUUUCAGGUACUCUACAGCAAAUUGCCUGAAGAUUUUUAUUGAAAGGGAUCUUUUGCCUAUCUAAGUAGUAUGGUAUGUAAAUAUUCAACCACGCUACACUUACAGGCUUUGUAUUUGGAUGUUGUAAUCUUUAGAGAUAAUGUGCAAAGAGCCACUCUGUUGAAUUUCAAUAAAUAAUAGCUCUUUCCCUCCUUUCCUUCCUGCAGAAGCCAAGAGCUCUAGCCUGCAUUUCUUCAAGUUCUUAUAGGAAAGAAAGGGUGCUUCAGUUUUCACAGAGGAGCUCCAUCGGCGGAAUCACAUCAUGGCUCUGCAAAGGGACAUUUGAAGAGCAGCCUCUCUGUCUCCCUCCUCUUCUCAUCAUUGUGGAAGUGGGCAUCACGACUAUCACAUUAGUGUCUGCCACCUUCUCAACCGUCACAGGGAAAAACGGAUCUAUCGAGGAUAGAUCAGCCUCUAUUGGUAAAUGCUCUGUGUGAUUCUGGCCCAUUCCAUUGUUAAACUUCCUCUAAAAUUCAGAAGCGCGUGCACUGUAUUCAGCCAAGGCUUUAUAUUCUGCACCAGCCGAAUUCAUUGCAAUUGUCGCAAAGUGGCUCUGUGUUGGACUGGAAGGUAAGACUCCUGGCUUGAGAGAAAGCACCUGGGAUAGAGACUUGAUCAUGUUGAGGAAGAAUUUCCCAUUUCUAGUUCAUUAUUAUUCAUUGGUAAUUGAAUUUAAAUUUUAACAAUGCCAUUUUUGCUACCAUUGAGGGGUUUUUUUUUUCCCUUUUUUUGGCCUAUGGAUGUGAAUGAUAAAAUAUUUCUAACAUCAAAUCAUCUUUGUAUUUCUAAGGUGUUGUGAAUUUGGGCGUGAAUCCUUCUUCAUUUAAUAGAAUGCCGAUCUCAAUUUGCUAGGGUUAUAUUCAGGAUUGUUCGCUUGUUUUCAUAAUUCAAAUUAAACUAUAAUUUUUUUGUAUAGAAGUAGGGCAACAAGUCAAUUCUGUUACCAAGGUCAUUAACACAUGAAUAAGGAAAUUUUCCAUAUAGUCGCUUGUUCUGAUUGUUGUACGUUUAAUGAACACAACCAAUAAAACCAUCUAUCCAGGCCCAUAUGUCCCUUUUUAAGUGUAAAUUUGGGCAUCUCUGGAAAUCAAUCCUUAGUUAUUCUAUUUUUCAAGAUUCUUCAUCUAAUGUAAAUAUUUAUGGGCAUGCUUUCCUCAAAAUUAGUCUAUUUUGAGAUGUUCAAAACUGUUUUCUUAAUUCCACAGAAAGUUUUCUAUAAUAUUUUCUUUCUCCCUUUACCAAAAGAAAUAGAUUAAUUUCUUUAUAAUGUCUAGAGUUUAUUUAAUUUUAACUGUUAAUUUUUGCCUUAAUACAUACCUUGGAGAUACUGUGGGUUCAGCUCCAGACCACAAUAAAAUAAAUAUCAGAGUAAAGCAAGCUGCACAAAUUUUUUGGUUUUUCAGUGUAGAAAAGUUAUGUUUACACUAAACCACAGUCUAUUAUGUAUGCAGAAGCAUCAUGUCUAAAAAACAUAGGUACAGAAAAUUUCUGUACAUUAAUUUAAAAAUACUUCAUUGCUAAAAAAUGCUAACCAUCAUUUGAGGCUUCAGUGAGUCAUAAUCUCUUUGCUGGUGAGGCGUCUUGCCUCAGUGUUGAUGGCUGCUGACUGAUCAGGGUGGUGGUUGCGACAGGUUAGGAUGGCUGCAGCAAUUCCUUAAAAUAAUACAAUUAGGUUUGUAGCAUCAAUUCACUCUUCUUUUCACUAAUGAUUUCCCUGUAACACGCAAUGCUGUUUGAUAGCAUUUUACCCACAGUAGAACUCUUUAAAAAGUAGUCCAUCCUCUCAAACCUACUGCUGCUUUACAACUAAGUUUAUAUAAUAUUCUAAAUCCUUUGUUGUCAUGUCAACAGCCUUUGCAUCUUUACCAGGUGCGGCUGCCAUCUCAGGAAACCACGUUCUUUGCUCCUCCAUAAGAAGCAACUCCUGAUGUGUUCAAGUUUUAUCAGAAGAUUGCAGCGAUUCCAGCACAUUUUCAGGUUCCACUUUUAAUUCUAGUUCUCUUGCUAUUUCCAACACAUUUGCAGUUACUUCCUCUACGGAAAUCUUGAAGCCCUCACAAUCACCUGUUAAUGGUAAUAUUCUGACCUCUUCUCAUGAAUCACAAAUGUUCUUAAUGGCACUUAGAAUGGUGAAUACUUUCCAAAAGCUUUUCAAUUGACUUUGUCCAGACUCAUUAAUAGAAUCACUGUCUGUGGCAGCUAUAGCCUUAAGAAAUGUAUUUCUUAAAGAAUAAGGCUUGAAGUCAAAAUAUUCCUGAUCUGUGGAUGGAUACAGAAUGGUUGUUGUGUUAGGAGAUAACAACAGUAAUCUCAUUCUGCAUCUUCAUUAGAGCUCUUGGGUGACCAAGUGCACUGUCCGUGUGCAAUAAUGUUUUGAAAGCAAUCUUUUUCUCUGAGCAGCAGGACUCAACAGUGGGCUUAAAACAUUAGUAAACUAUGUUGUAAACAGAUUGCUGGCAUCCAGACUUUAUUGUUCCAAUUAUAGAGCAUAGGCAGAGUAGAUUUAGCAUAAUUCUUCAGGGCCCUGGGAUUUCCAGAAUAGUAAAUGAUAAUUGGCUUCGACUGAAAGUCACCAGCUACAUACAUUAGCCCCUAACAUGAGUCAUUCUGUCUUUGGAGACGUUGAAGCCAGGCAUUGACUUCUUUCUAGCUAUGAAAGUCCUGGAUGGCAUCUUCUAACAUAAGACUAUGUCAUCAACAUUGAGAAUUGGUGUUGUGUGUGUGUGUGUGUGUGUGUGUCUAGCCACCUUCAUUAAUUAUGUGCGCUAGAUCUUCUGGAUAACUUGCUGUAACUUCUUCAUCAGCACUUGCUGCUUCACCUUAAAUGUUUGUGUUAUGAAGAUGAUUCCUUCCUCUGCCAGCUUCACACUUUUCUUCUGCAGCUUCCUCACCUCUCUCACCUUCAUAGAAUUGAAGAGAAUUAGGGCCUUGCUCUGCAUGAGGCUUUGACUUAAGGGCUGGUUUGAUCUUCUCUCAGACCACUCAGACUCUCCUCAUAUCAGCAAUAAGGCUGUUCUGCUUUUUUUAUCAUUUGUGUGUUCACUGGAAUACCACUUUAAUUUCCUUCAAGAACUUUUCCUUGGCAUUCACAACUUAGCUACCUGUUUGGUGCAAGAGGCUUAGCUUUCUGCCUUCCCUGGCUUUCAACAUGCCUUCCUCGUGAAGCAUAAUCAUGUCUAGCUUUUGAUUUAAAGUAAGAGAGGUGUGACUCUUCCUUUCGCUUGAUCAUUUAGAGUCCACAGUAUGGUCGUUAAUCAGCCUGACUUCAAUGUCGUUGUGUCUCAGGGAACCGAGAAGCUGAGGAGAGGGAGAGAGAUGGGGGAAUGGCAGAUUGGUGGAGAAGUUAGAAUAUACGAAGUAUUUAUCCAGUUCACCACCUUAUGAGGAGCAGUUCAUGGUGCCCCCAAACAAUACAAGAGUAAUCAAACAUUACUGACCAUAGAUCACCAUAAAAAUAUAAUAAUGAUGAGGAGUUCCCAUUGUGGCUCAGCAGAAGUGAGUCCAACAAGGAACCAUGAGGUUGCGGGUUCGAUCCCUGGCCUCUCUCAGUGGGUUAAGGAUCUGGCAUUGCCGUGAGCUGUGGGGUAGGUCGUAGACAUGGUGUUGCUGUGGCUGUGGCAUAGGCUGGCAGCCAUAGCUCCGAUUCGACCCCUAGCCUGGGAACCUCCAUGUGCCACAGGUGUGGCACUAAAAAAGCAAAAACAAACAAACAAACUAACUAACAAACACAAAAAUAUGAUAAUAAUGAAAAAGUUUGAAAUAUUGCAAGAAUUACCAAAGUAGGACACAGAGACAUGAAGUGAGAAAAUAGUAUUGGGAAAAUGUUGCCAAUAGACUAGCUUGAUGCAGCUGCAGACCUGCAAUUUAUUACAAAAAAAAAAAAAGCAUUAUCUGGGAAGUGCAAUAAAAUGAAAUAUUUCUAUAUUAUUCUUUCUUCCUGUUUUCAUCAGAUUUACGUCGCCUUUCCAUUUCUAACGUGGAUUGACUCUUUGAUCAAUUGAAUUCAUUUCCGUGAUUUCAAUUUUUUCCAUGGGAUUGAUAAUUAUGAUCACAAAAAAUGGACUAUAUAAUUCCUCCCAUUUGAAAUGUAUUAAGAUUUUCUUUGUGAUCUAAUUACAUUUCAUAAUUGUUCAAUGAACUCUUAUGAAAGGGUAUUUCAACCGUUUGUAAGGUACACAUUCCAUUUUGGUACAUUUAAUUAAACUCAGUAAUGUUAUUAUCCAGACUCUAUUUUCACUUAGUUUUGGCUGCCUGCUCUUUCAAAGAUAUAGAAAACUAUACUCACAUCUUUCUCUUCUUCUUGACUUUCAAACUCUUUCUUCUUGUGUCUAUGUCAAUGACAUGUUAGUCCUCGUAUGUGUAUUCUUGACCUUUAUGUCUACAGGAAGACUUGUAUCUUU